AUGUCGUCCUUCGGUGCCUUCCAGGCUAGCCUCAACGGCCAAGUCACGGAGAUGCUUUCCCGCACCAACUAUGUCCUCUGGCGCGCGCAGAUCACGCCGCAGCUAAGGGGCGCGGGUGUCUUCGGCUACGUCGACGGCACUACACCAGAGCCGGCCAGGAUCCUCUCCACCAAGGACAAAAAGAUGGGAAGAAAUCUACUGCGCCGAACCCUCUCUACGCCGUCUGGGCGCGAGAGGACCAGAAGGUGCUCGGGUACCUGCUGA
rnacentral:rRNA from 1 species